UAACGAAUAUUGGGCAAUGGGCGAAAGCCUGACCCAGCAAUGCCGCGUGCAGGACGAAGUCCUUCGGGAUGUAAACUGCUGUCAGGGGUCCGCAAGCGAAGGGGUCCAACAGGCCCUGGAGUUGAGCAGCCCCAGAGGAAGCCUCGACUAACUCUGUGCCAGCAGUCGCGGUAAGACAGAGGAGGCAAGCGUUGUUCGGAAUCACUGGGCUUAAAGCGCGUGUAGGCGGCUUAGAAAGUGUCGUGUGAAAUCCCGCGGCUCAACCGCGGAACUGCACGGCAAACUACUUGGCUUGAGGUCGGUAGAGGUGCCUGGAAUUCUCGGUGUAGCAGUGAAAUGCGUAGAUAUCGAGAGGAACACCUGUGGCGAAGGCGAGUCCCUGGACAAUACCUGACGCUGAGGCACGAAAGCUAGGGGAGCAAACA
rnacentral:rRNA from 1 species